GUAGGUGGGCAAGCGUUGUCCGGAAUUAUUGGGCGUAAAGCGCGCGCAGGCGGUCCUUUAAGUCUGAUGUGAAAGCCCACGGCUCAACCGUGGAGGGUCAUUGGAAACUGGGGGACUUGAGUACAGAAGAGGAAAGCGGAAUUCCAAGUGUAGCGGUGAAAUGCGUAGAGAUUUAGAGGAACACCAGUGGCGAAGGCGGCUUUCUGGUCCGUAACUGGCGCUGAGGCGCGAAAGCGUGGGGAGCAAACAGGAUUAGAUACCCUGGUAGUCCACGCCGUAAACGAUGAGUGCUAAGUGUUAGGGGGUUUCCGCCCCUUAGUGCUGCAGCUAACGCAUUAAGCACUCCGCCUGGGGAGUACGGCCGCAAGGCUG
rnacentral:rRNA from 1 species